ACGGAAUUUUUUCGUAGCGAACGGGUGAGGAAUAGGCAAAGUUUUACCUUUUAGUUUAGUACAAAAAUUUUACUAUUGUAAAUUUAAAUACUAAAUAUUUCAUAAAGGUUUCUAUUAUUUGAAUAGAUUCCGCCAAAAGAUACCUUUGUUUAAGAUUAGGUUGUUGGUAAUUUAAAAGAUUACCAAGCCAUCGAUCUUUAGUUGGUCUUAUGAGGAUGAUCAACCACACUGGAACUGAAAUAAGGUCCAGGCCGACAAGUCGGCCAGCAGUGAGGAAUAUUGGACAAUGAACGAAAGUUUGAUCCAGCAAUACUAUUUGGGUGAUGACGGCUUAUUUUUAGUUGUAAGAUCCUUUCAUUUAAGAAGAUAAUGACUUUAUUUUAGGAAGUUUAGUCCCGGCUAAUACUCGUGCCAGCAGCCGCGGUAAAACGGGAGGGGCAAGCGUUAUUCGGCAUAACUGGGCGUAAAGAGUCCGUAGACGGUAAAAUAAGUUUUUUGUUAAAUUUUAAAUUCUAAUUUUAAAACAAGCAUUAAAUACUGUUUUACUUUGAGUUUAGUACAGAAAAAUGGAAUUUUAUAUGAAAGGGUGAAAUCUGCUAAUAUAUAAAGGAAUGCCAUUAGCGAAGGCGAUUUUUUGGUAUAAACUGACGUUGAGGGACGAAAGUGUGGGUAUCAAACAGGAUUAGAGACCCUGGUAGUCCACACCGUAAAUUCUGAAUGCUGAAAUUUAAUUGUAAAAUUUAAUAAUAAUAAAUUUUAUUUAGAUUUUUGAAGCUAACGCAAUAAGCAUUCCGCCUGAGGAGUACGAUCGCAAGGUUGGAACUCAAAGGAAUUGACGGGGGUUUAAAACUAGUGGUGGAGUAUGUGGUUUAAUGCGAUAAUCCGCGCAAAACCUUACCAA
rnacentral:rRNA from 1 species